rnacentral:sRNA from 14 species
ACCGGUCUUCAGUCAAGGGUACACAAGUAGCUGCACUCCUCCAAACAAGCUCUCAAGGUCCACUGUAGGAACGUAGGGUAGUAAAGC